rnacentral:rRNA from 1 species
GGGUGCAAGCGUUACUCGGAAUCACUGGGCGUAAAGGGCGCGUAGCGCGGGAUUAUCAAGUCUCUUGUGAAAUCUAAUGGCUUAACCAUUAAACUGCUUGGGAAACUGAUAGUCUAGAGUGAGGGAGAGGCAGAUGGAAUUGGUGGUGUAGGGGUAAAAUCCGUAGAUAUCACCAAGAAUACCCAUUGCGAAGGCGAUCUGCUGGAACUCAACUGACGCUAAGGCGCGAAAGCGUGGGGAGCAAACAGGAUUAGAUACCCUGGUAGUCCACGCCCUAAACGAUGUACACAAGUUGUUGGGGUGCUAGUCAUCUCAGUAAUGCAGCUAACGCAUUAGGUGUACCGCCUGGGGAGUACGGUCGCAAGAUUAAAACUCAAAGGAAUAGACGGGGACCCGCACAAGCGGUGGAGCAUGUGGUUUAAUUCGAAGAUACGCGAAGAACCUUACCUGGCCUUGAUAUCCUAAGAACCUUUCAGAGAUAAGAGGGUGCUAGCUUGCUAUAACUUAGAGACAGGUGCUGCACGGCAUGUGGUCAGCUCGUGUAGUGAAAUG